GCUCUGCUGGGUCUGUGACACUACUUAUCCGAGGAGUCCUCAAACAUCAGGAUGUAGGAAGACACAAGUAAAAGGAGAAGAAUGCUGUUCAGCUGGGUCGGCGGCCACACUACUUAUUCAAGAAGCUCUUGGAUAUCAUCGGCAUGUAUGAAACUUGUGGUGAGAUGCCAAGAGCUGCCAUGAGGGAUAUGCAACCUGCAGCUUCACCGUGCUUUUGGGAGGUCAUCUACUACGUGAACCUUAAUAUCUACAAGCCAGCUACUUUAAAUCCUUGAAAGGGUAGUGAUGUCAAUCAAACCAGAUCACGAGACAAGGUCCUGAGGUACAAACUGUCAAUAUAAUUGCGACAUCCCUGUCAGUUCUUUUGGACUGAAUACAUGCUGUGUUUGAAAUGUAUUAUUCGGAUAACCACCCAUCAGGGAAUACCUUGUCUGUUAAUGACAGAUAGACCUGCCAUGGACAUGCAGUGCACACUUUGAUGUUUUUUUAUUUUAAUGUUUUCUAUGUUUUUUCAAUGUUUUUUAUUUAUGUUCUGUUAUAUGCUGGUUAUGUAAGUACUGUAUGGAAUGUAGUGACUGUAGAGACCAAGACAAAUUUCAACCUGGGGACAAUUAAGUUCACUCCACUCUGUUAGCGCAGUUAUGGAUGCACUGUAAAGUUUGUAAUUAACAAAAAGUACGGUGAGAAGCCUGUUUGUGCAGAUGGACCUGCUGGCGGGUCUGUUUACUCAUAGCUAAAAAGCAACAUAUUCUCUGUGCAAAGCACAUGGGCUCUUCGCAAAGGGGUUAAACAUUUUAAUGUGCUGUUUUACAGUGUGCUAUACAAAAGGUAAGGUGAAACUAAAUUUUUGAAUUUCUAUAAUUGUACAGUGUCACUGAAAUCAAAUGGUACAUUGGUAAAACAGAACCAUUUCCUUUAACCCCUUUUAGCAGACCCUAUGUUUUAACUUUACUGUCACCAAUAUUGUAAUGACUGAGUUUUAACCUGUUACUUAAGGCUCUUGGUAAUGUCAUAGCAAUGUUGCUGUGAUGUAGUUGAGUCUUUUCGGUCAUGAGUGAUCAGUCUUGCUGAUAACCCAUCUUUGCAAAGAGGCUACAAAGAUGCAUGUAAAUUCAAUUAAGGUUUUAUUGCUUCAAUGCUAUGAUGUGUUAAUGCUACACUGCUGUGAUUUGCAUCUUUAUAGUAUACUUUUAUGAAAUGUAUUGUUAAUU